rnacentral:misc_RNA from 1 species
UUCACCUGGAAAACUAGAAGAAAUGGAUUUUCAAAGCCCUAAUUGAAGACAUCUAUCAUGUGCAGUGACUGGAUCAUACAACUCACCAGCUCUGCACACACUAAAGGAUAGCACAAAGGAGAAGAAGCUAAUGGCGGACAUCUUGGUCACCCUUUAAAUAAUAUAUAUGCACAACUCUACCAACGAGACAUCAUAAAUAAAGCUGCCAACAGAGAUGGAAUAAGCAAGACACGUGUACGAACCCUUUUUGAGCAUCUCAUCUGAAACAUUACCGACUAAUACUGCCUAAUUUCUGUAUUUGUGCACCGUCUAG